UACGUAGGGUGCGAGCGUUAAUCGGAAUUACUGGGCGUAAAGCGUGCGCAGGCGGUUCGUUGUGUCGGCGGUGAAAGCCCCGGGCUUAACCUGGGAAUGGCCGUUAAACUGGCGAACUGGAGUGUGGCAGAGGGGGGUGGAAUUCCGCGUGUAGCAGUGAAAUGCGUAGAGAUGCGGAGGAACACCGAUGGCGAAGGCAGCCCCCUGGGCUGACACUGACGCUCAGGCACGAAAGCGUGGGGAGCAAACAGG
rnacentral:rRNA from 1 species